AGGGAUCUGAUUCUGUAGUGAUCUGCCUUGCUGUAGCGUUGGCAGUGUGUGUGGUUGUGAUUUUUGCUCAAGCAUUCGUAUACUGUAAAAAACAAAACGGGAAACUACCACAAGGUGCUUUGAUAGAGAAAACACACAAUCAGGACCGUGAUGCUGUGGAGCUGAAUUAUGCUGCUGUAAAUUUCAGUCAGAGGAAAAUUAAAAGUGGAAGAGCAAAAAAAAGACAACCUCAAGAUACUGUUUAUUCUGAAGUGAUACACACUCCUGUUACUUAGAUCACUGUUACUUUAUCACUAAUUGUUAUAACUAAUGUUUGUCUGCUCAUUAUAAUUGUUUGCUCAAAAGCAAUGUUUGAGCCAAAUCAAUGUAAUAGCAUUCACUGUUAUAUAAAAUCGAGUGAGAGUGAGAAAUCAUAAACUGACUUGCAUGAAAAGGUUUGAGGGAAACGUUGGGCAUCAAUCAUAAUAUGAAAAAUCAUCAUUGUUAAU